UCUGCCCCCCACCGCAGCCCCCCGGGUGCGUGUGUGCGCACCCCUCCCGACAGCCUGACCCUCCUGUCCGAGGCUGACCCUUUGGGGGGGCCAGGAGGGGACAUGGAGGGCAGGGGGGGGGGACACGACUUGUGCAGGCGCAGCCCCCUUUUUUUUUUGCAUCCAGGUGUGCUGCAAUCCGGGCGGCAAGGUGGCUUCUCCUUAACUCCCUCCUUGCCCGCCGCCGCUGCCAGCGCUCCCGGGAGCCUCGCUCCCCUCCCUUCGCUCAGCCUCCUCUGCUCUGCCUCCGCCGCUCAGCCUCCCCUGCUCAGCUUCCCCUGCUCAGCCUCCACCGCUCAGCCUCCGCCGCUCAGCCUCCGCUGCCUCCCGCCGUCCUCCCCCACCCGCCGAGCCGCGCUGCAGCAGCGGGGACGGAGUUGGUGUAGUGGUGCUGGGCGGAGGGGGUGAGAGAUUGGCUAUAAGGAGAAGGCUGACGGCUGCAGCAUGAAGCGCAUUAUUACCUUGUGAUUCCAUGACCCUCCUCUAUGCAUCCCUAACUCUCAAAAGCUGAUUCAGCUUUCAGCUAGUGCUCUGAUGGCAUUGACAUAUAGCCUGGAGGGGCUAUCAGGAUACAAAGCUAAAGAUGGUUAAAGACAUUAAAAACUGUACAAUGUGAGCACCAUCUACACCAGGACCAUCAUCCAGGAGGAAGAUUCAUCCUGAUGUAUUGUGCAGAAAGCAAAGUGAGCUGAAGGUAUUUUCAAGAUGGACAAAAUUUAUAUAUAUAUAUAUAUUCUUACUCCUAACCAUGCCUUUUCUAGUGGGUCUUUAUCGGCUCUUUAAAAACAAUGACCAAUAUAUGUAAUGAUCUGCCUUCCUCUUUCUUUCCGGGUGAAUCAUAGUUCCUGCAGGGUGUUCAUCACCGAGUGUAAUGGCUGGCUUGAUCCAUUCGUGUCUGACUGCUUCCCAGCAAGCUAUUGAACGGCUCCUCUUCAUCGCAGGGCCGCCAGCAUUUCCCAGGUCCUGCCAGGGCUUCUGCUAAGUUGUAUAAUAAAUAUUGCACUCAGAACAAGACUUUAACCGUUGCCACAGGAUGGAGGAAAUUUGCUUUUCCGCAUUUCUUGAGUUUGGUGCUGCCUAAGUUUCUGUAAUGCACUUGCACAGAGAAUGGACUUAAUAUUCUUGCAUUUUUUUUUUUUUUUUAAUAUGAUGCACAGUUUAUAUAGUGGGUGCAGCUGGAAGGAAAAAGAACUGCAAAGAGGGGACUUCACCUGCUGGAAAAUAUUCUCUGCUUCCCCCAGAAGUGAUGAAAAUGUCAAUACUAUUGACGCAAUCACUAAUUAAAAACGACUGCCAUAAUCAUGCAUAUGAUAGCCGUAGGAUAUCAGUUUGGAUUAAAUGUAAGCAGCGAGCUGUGCUGCACAUGGUUUUCAAAAGCAUAAGGGUCUGGGCGAUGGCAUCUUCUGUACAGUCCAGAGGGAGCAGCAGAAGGAUGCUCUCACACAUGGGCUGCUCCUGUGCUGCCCAGCCCCGCUGAGCUGUGCAACUGCUUGCAUGGCCUGAACUCUGUGCAACAGUCCUCCCAUGGGGAGGAGCACGGCCCAGUGAGCCCCAAAACCACAGGAAGGACAAAAAGAGGGACAGUUCUUUGAAGCAGGGAGAUCUGUCUGUUUCAGAAAGAAUCAGGAAAAAAAAUAAUAAAUAAUAAUAAUAAUAAUAAUAAAAAAGCCAUAACUGUCAUUUGUGGCAUUGCACAGUGUGUAACAGCCAGCACUUCCCAAGUGUAAGGAUCCUGACCUCCAAACUAUCAUUGUAGAAGUUUAUGAUUUGUAUCCAUCUUCACUUUAAAGAAUAGGAUGGAGUGUAAAGCUGUCAAUAGAAAAAAAAAAUAUAUAUAUAUAUAUAUAAAAUAAAAAAAAAUAAAU